rnacentral:rRNA from 1 species
GCGGCGGACGGGUGAGUAACACGUGGGCAACCUGCCCGCAAGACCGGGAUAACUCCGGGAAACCGGAGCUAAUACCGGAUAACACCGAAGACCGCAUGGUCUUUGGUUGAAAGACGGCCUUUGGGCUGUCACUUGCGGAUGGGCCCGCGGCGCAUUAGCUAGUUGGUGAGGUAAUGGCUCACCAAGGCGACGAUGCGUAGCCGGCCUGAGAGGGUGACCGGCCACACUGGGACUGAGACACGGCCCAGACUCCUACGGGAGGCAGCAGUAGGGAAUCUUCCGCAAUGGGCGAAAGCCUGACGGAGCGACGCCGCGUGAGCGAAGAAGGCCUUCGGGUCGUAAAGCUCUGUUGUGAGGGACGAAGGAGCGCCGUUUGAAGAAGGCGGCGCGGUGACGGUACCUCACGAGAAAGCCCCGGCUAACUACGUGCCAGCAGCCGCGGUAAUAC